UGGCAAAUGGAUGUUGCGUGCUCGCA
rnacentral:piRNA from 1 species